AUUGAACGCUGGCGGAAUGCUUUACACAUGCAAGUCGAACGGCAGCACGGACUUCGGUCUGGUGGCGAGUGGCGAACGGGUGAGUAAUGUAUCGGAACGUGCCCAGUCGUGGGGGAUAACGCAGUGAAGAUUACGCUAAUACCGCAUACGAUCUAUGGAUGAAAGCGGGGGAUCGCAAGACCUCGCGCGAUUGGAGCGGCCGAUAUCAGAUUAGGGAGUUGGUGGGGUAAAGGACCACCAAGCCAACGAUCUGUAGCUGGUCUGAGAGGACAACCAGCCACACUGGAACUGAGACACGGUCCAGACUCCUACGGGAGGCAGCAGUGGGGAAUUUUGGACAAUGGGCGAAAGCCUGAUCCAGCCAUUCCGCGUGCAGGAUGAAGGCCCUCGGGUUGUAAACUGCUUUUGUACAGAACGAAAAGGUUUCUACUAAUACUAGGAGCUCAUGACGGUACUGUAAGAAUAAGCACCGGCUAACUACGUGCCAGCCGCCGCGGUAA
rnacentral:rRNA from 1 species